rnacentral:misc_RNA from 1 species
GGAAUUUUGGGCAAUGGGCGAAAGCCUGACCCAGCAACGCCGCGUGAGGGAUGAAGGCCUUCGGGUCGUAAACCUCUGUCGGGAGGGACGAAAGGCGCGCGGGUGAACAAUCCGCGUACUUGACGGUACCUCCUAAGGAAGCGCCGGCUAACUCCGUGCCAGCAGCCGCGGUAAUACGGAGGGCGCAAGCGUUGUUCGGAAUUACUGGGCGUAAAGCGCGUGUAGGCGGCCAGGUAAGUCGGAUGUGAAAGCCCGGGGCCCAACCCCGGAACUGCACCCGAUACUGCCUGGCUGGAGUCCCGGAGAGGAUGGCGGAAUUUCCGGUGUAGAGGUGAAAUUCGUAGAUAUCGGAAGGAACACCAGUGGCGAAGGCGGCCAUCUGGACGGUGACUGACGCUGAGACGCGAAAGCGUGGGGAGCAAACAGGA